rnacentral:rRNA from 1 species
UAAGGAAUAUCGGUCAAUGGGCGGAAGCCUGAACCAGCCAUGCCGCGUGCAGGAAGACGGCCCUACGGGUUGUAAACUGCUUUUAUACCGGAAUAAACCUUUUCACGUGUGAGAAGCUGAAUGUACGGUAAGAAUAAGGAUCGGCUAACUCCGUGCCAGCAGCCGCGGUAAUACGGAGGAUCCAAGCGUUAUCCGGAUUUAUUGGGUUUAAAGGGUGCGUAGGUGGCUUAUUAAGUCAGGGGUGAAAGACGGUAGCUUAACUAUCGCAGUGCCUUUGAUACUGAUGAGCUUGAAUGAACUAGAGGUAGGCGGAAUGUGACAAGUAGCGGUGAAAUGCAUAGAUAUGUCACAGAACACCAAUUGCGAAGGCAGCUUACUAUGGUUUUAUUGACACUGAGGCACGAAAGCGUGGGGAUCAAACAG